UCACUCGGCUUUCUCUUUAUUCCGCGCAUAAAUCUUUCGCCUUUCACUAAACAUUUCCGUGGCGGGGAAUGCUCAUUGGGUCUUCGUUUGAUUUUGCGUGUGCUCGACUGGCUUUCAGCAA